GAGCUUAAGCAUAUCUAUUAAGCGGAGGAAAAGAAACCAACAGGGAUUGCCCCAGUAACGGCGAGUGAAGCGGCAACAGCUCAAAUUUGAAAUCUGGCCCUCGGGUCCGAGUUGUAAUUUGUAGAGGAUGCUUUUGGCGAGGUGCCUUCCGAGUUCCCUGGAACGGGACGCCAUAGAGGGUGAGAGCCCCGUCUGGUCGGACACCGAGCCUCUGUAAAGCUCCUUCAACGAGUCGAGUAGUUUGGGAAUGCUGCUCAAAAUGGGAGGUAUAUGUCUUCUAAAGCUAAAUAUUGGCCAGAGACCGAUAGCGCACAAGUAGAGUGAUCGAAAGAUGAAAAGCACUUUGAAAAGAGGGUUAAAAAGUACGUGAAAUUGUUGAAAGGGAAGCGCCUAUGACCAGACUUGCGCCCGGUGAAUCAUCCAGCGUUCUCGCUGGUGCACUUUGCCGGGCACAGGCCAGCAUCAGUUUGGCGCGGGGGAAAAAGGCUUCGGGAAUGUGGCUCCCUCGGGAGUGUUAUAGCCCGCUGCGUAAUACCCUGCGCCGGACUGAGGUACGCGCAUCGCAAGGAUGCUGGCGUAAUGGUCAUCAGCGACCCGUCUUGAAACACGGACCAAGGAGUCGUCUUCGUAUGCGAGUGUUCGGGUGUCAAACCCCUACGCGUAAUGAAAGUGAACGUAGGUGAGAGCUUCGGCGCAUCAUCGACCGAUCCUGAUGUUCUCGGAUGGAUUUGAGUAAGAGCAUACGGGGCCGGACCCGAAAGAAGGUGAACUAUGCCUGUAUAGGGUGAAGCCAGAGGAAACUCUGGUGGAGGCUCGCAGCGGUUCUGACGUGCGAAUCGUAUCGUCAAAUAUGGGCAUGGGGGGCGAAAGACUAAUUCGAAACCUUUCUAGUAGCUGGGUUUCCCGCCGAAAGUCCC
rnacentral:rRNA from 1 species